CGUCAUCUGGGGAGAGAAGGCAAGAGAACACAGUUAACCCGUCUAAAGGUGUAAGCCCAGCUAGUACAGGAAUCCCUGUUAGAACUGAAUCCCAACUCUACUUAACAAACGCAGUUAAUAGUUGAUCCUAUUUUCUUACCGGUUAUCUCUUCCUCUGUCUGCUUCUGUUCCUUCAGCAACUCCAGCUUGGAGGGUGGUACUGUUGGAAGAGUUGUGACCCCUGGAAUCUGAGGGAGGCAGCAGGGAGGUGUCCGGGCAAUGGGAGGAAGCAGCAAGAUAUAUGUGAUCAAAGGGAUCAUCUACCCUAGAGUGAGAUGGCCUCAAGAAGACAAUAAACUUCCCAUGAGUGAUACUUUCAAAAUUCAUCAAAAUAGAAGAUAAGAAAUGAGCUUAAGGAAGCUUUCUCAUAUGUAAAGUGGUAUAGAAGACUGAAGAAACCAGUUACAUAUUACAAAGAACUAACAUGGUAUUUUUGACCUAGUGAUGGCUUAGGACACAGGCAAAGAUGAUUAAGAAUUCUUCACUGCUGUUAGAGUAGAAAAGUGCUGCUUGCAUAACUCUCUGCUUGGUUGUAAAGCACGCUCGCAAAUACAUAUGUGUGUGUUGGUAUGUGUGUGCAUGUACACACAGGUGCAUUCUCUUUUGCUUUUUCUCAGUCCACAAAAUAGUUUUCUUUUAAAUACAGUUUAUAAAGCUGAGAUACAUUAAAACAGAAUUGAUGAUCA